UAAGGCUGAGGUAGUAGAUUGAAUAGUUGUGGGGUUUUAAUCCUCCCUCUGAGAUAACUAUACAAUCUACUGUCUUUCCUAA
rnacentral:pre_miRNA from 1 species